GUCUAGGAUGAACGCUAGCUACAGGCUUAACACAUGCAAGUCGAGGGCAGCAUGAAGUUUGCUUGCAAACUUUGAUGGCGACCGGCGCGACGGGUGAAGUAACGCGUAUACCCAACCUUUCCCUUAGGUAGGCAUACGCCCGGCGAAAGUCGGAUUAAUACCCUAUGUUCUUCGUAGAGGACAUCUGAAAUGAAGCAAAGGUUUACCGCUAAGGGAUGGGGAUGCGUCUGAUUAGGUAGUAGGCGGGGUAACGGCCCACCUAGCCUGCGAUCAGUAGGGUUCUGAGAGGAAGGUCCCCCACAUUGGAACUGAGACACGGUCCAAACUCCUACGGGAGGCAGCAGUGAGGAAUAUUGGUCAAUGGGCGCGAGCCUGAACCAGCCAAGUAGCGUGCAGGAUGACGGCCCUAUGGGUUGUAAACUGCUUUUAUCAGGGGAUAAAGUGAGGGACGUGUCCCUUUUUGUAGGUACCUGAUGAAUAAGGACCGGCUAAUUCCGUGCCAGCCGCAGC
rnacentral:rRNA from 1 species